CCGCGUUAUCUCUGCAACAACAACAAAGCUGAGUCUUGUUCAUCCUCCAUUCUCCUCCUCUUCGACCUAUCUCGCUUCCGCAGCAACCCUCCUACGGCUUCGUCUCAAAGCGUAAGCUUCUCUUCCUCUGUUUCAUACCGAAUCAAAGCAAAGAGAUUGAAUAAAAGCGCAAUCACUUGUCAGGACACAGUCUGUUGUUUCAUGUUGAAUGAAAUCCUUAUUUCGAGGGCACUGGUUUCAUCACUGUUGCUUUGGAUGUGGAGAUUGUUCCUCCAGAGAACUCAGUGCCCACUACCGCAGCGGAAAGGUUCUUUAAGAGCGAGAUAAGGAGGAGGUUGUUUGUGACGUCUGUGUUGCUUGUACUUAGCCGUGUUGGAUAUUUAAUCCCUUUGCCUGGGUUUGACAGAAGAUUAAUACCUCAAGAUUACCUUAGCUUUGUCUCAGGUUCCGUUGUGGAAGGUAUAGUGGUGGCUUGCACUUCUCUCCAGUACUCUGUUUUUGUAGCCACAGCUCAGUAAUCGAUCAACUAAUCCAAGUCCAUGGCUGGGAGAAUCAUUGCGCAGUUCAUUGUGAUGGGUUCUGGGAUAUUAGGUCGUGCUUUCUUUCAAGCUUAUCGUCAGGCCAUUGCAAGUCAAGAAGAGUGAGAGUAACGCUGUAAGAAUUUUGCAAUGGAGCAAUUAAAUGUUGGGGAUUCUUAAAUUUCUCUUAAGUCACUUUUUGUACUUAAAAGCAUUAAACAAAUAAUAAGAACCCCUAAUAUGGGUCUUUGCAAUAAUCAUGCUCUUAUGAACUUAUAAUCAAUGGUCAAAGUGAAGUCAAUAUAUUUAUUUGUAACACA